rnacentral:ncRNA from 2 species
GGACUGAACUCUGGAAAGCAGGUGGCAACACCUCACCGAAGGAGCAACCGGAGCAUAGGCCCUCCGGGAAAUCUCUCAGGUUAGCGGACAGAGGGGGCACG